AUUCUGAAGAAAGACAAGUGCAACCAACCUGCUUCUCCAGAGAUCUCCCAAGACAUCAACAAUGGGGUCAAGGAAAACAGACACCCUUAGGGUCUUCUCCACUUAGCUCCCUUUGGUGACAGGGCUGGACAGCAGCAGCAGGGGAUGGAAGAAAGAAGCAGCUCUUCCUUGAAAUCUUCUGAGACCUCAACAGAGGAAGCUUAUGGGAAUGGACAGGAAGCUGGACUGAGCUCACUUGCCUAGAGGACUAUUCCUAUGUGGAGUGAGCAGCUACCCAACUCCCAGAGCCCAGACGGGCUGAGUAGCCAGGGCUUGACUGGCCAUGAGCACUGCCUAAGGGGUCUAGGAUACUUCACAGGGUACAGUAGCCAGACCAGGAGUGGGUGGUGACAAGUGAUCUCAGGGGGCUGACCAAUGGAGCAAGGUCCAGCCAGAGCAUGGGACAGCAUCCAAGAACCAAGCUGCCCAGAGGAGGUGUGAGAGCUCUGGUCUUACAAGGUACAACUCAGAUCAGGACACUAACCACAGCAUGAUAGCUGUUUAGUAAACCAGACCCUGCCAAUACAGGAGAUAAAGGAAACAACAACAGGCUGAAGACACCCAGAACCCCUGGCUCAUCUUCAUCUCACCUAAACCAGGUUGAUGGUAGCAAAUCCCAGGUCCUAAUCACUGCUGUGCAUGAAACUCUGAGCAUGCUUUCCAAAUUAUUGGCAUUGGCUCAAAAAUGGGCAAAGCUGAGCUGGUAAGUAAAAGGCCUCAUUAUAACAGUGCAGAAGCUAGGAGGUAAGGGCUAAGGUGAAGAUUCUAGGCAGACAGCAUGAUUCAGAGGUGACUCAAGUAGACUGUAGUAGGAAACCUUAAGCAGGAAGCCUUGAGUCUGCAGCUUAAGCCACUGCUUCAGUGUCUACGGUGAAAGAUUCACUUAUAUUUGAAACACUUUUCUUUAAAAAACAGAGAGCAAAGAUUAGACAGGAAAUAACCAAGAAAGACACGUGACCUUACCCCAGAAAGACAAAGGUGUUCUUGUGGAUCCCAGGUGCCUGGUCCAGCCCCAUUCACCAAGACUGACUUCCUCAUAGGAAUAUUAUUGCACUAAGAAGUCCUUGUGAAAAAGAGACAUGAUUGAAACAUCCUCUCUGCAGUUUUUCUUUGUGACAACAGCAGAUCAGGGACUUGGAGAUUCAGGAUUGAUUGCAGCCCAUUUUUCCACUCUGUCCAUGGUGAGAGGUGAAGAAAGAGAUGGACAGAAGAGUUAUGACUUACAUGACUGGUGGUACUCAGGUGUUCUCAGAGCUCAGAACAUAUUCCAGAGCCUGAUUUAUUUCCUGAUUUCUUUACAAUAAAUCACUCUGAAAACCAAGAACACUAGAAUAUAGACUGCUUGUACACUAAAAUCAGAGCUCCUUUGGAAAUGGGUGGCCCAUUCCUGGGAGGAACAAUCAUAUCUCAAGGUGCAUUUAUCCUGGGUAGCCACAUCAGCCCUGUGUUUUCUCUUUACAUAGUUCCAGUAGCCUGCAAGGUCACUGAUGGGUAGCUCUCUAAUAAUGGCUUAGUAACUCAAAAUAUUUGGAUCCCAGAUUUAUUUGGCUGCUAUGUGGCUUAUUUUUUUUAAGUGAGCCCUACUUCCAUUGAGCACAUGUUCUCUGUCAGAAAAUUUUCAUAAACAUACAGUCUAUCGUGCAAAACAUCAGACUAUCAAUUACUUCCACUUACUCUGAGCAAAGAAUAUCAUUAGUAUACCAAAAAAAAUAGUUUUCUAUGAAUGGCAUCCUUGUUCACAUUCCCUGAAGAGCAGAAUCUGAGAUGGAGGUUUGUUUGCAUAAAGUUUAUUGGGGAGUAUUUCUGAGGGGGAAUGAAAGCAGCCAGAUUGGGAAGAAGGAAGAGAUGAACUAUGAAGCAAUGAACAGUGGCCUCUGCUGAUCCCACAGGAAGCUCUGGAGCUGAGUGGUCCUUCAGAAAUGUUCCAAAUUGAGCAAGGCCUUUAUGGUUAAUGUCAUUCAAUCAUUGCAUGCAAGCUGACCUUGGCAUGAUAUAGAGAGAGGCAGUUUACUUCAGUUCUUGGAGGACAAUGCUUAGGGUGUGAUGUGGUUUGUCCCCACCCAAAUCUCAUCUUGAAUUGUAGCUCUCAUAAUUCCCACGUGUUGUGGGAGGGACCCAGUGAGAGGUAAUUUAAUCAUGGGGUGGGUCUUUCUGGUGCUGUUCUCAUGAUAGUGAAUAAGUCUCAUGAGAUCUGCUGGUUUUAUAAAGGGAUAUUCUCCUACACAAGCUCUCUUGCCUGCCACCAUGUAAGACGUGCCUUUGCCUUCAGCCAUGAUUGUGAGGCCUCUCCAGCCAUGCUGAACUCGCUCUCACAUUUUACCAAUCUGUGAUCCUGAGUUCAUGUGGUCCCAUCUUGAUGGGUUCAAAUGUCAAGCUGAAAUACAUCCAAUGUGAAACAUUCCCUUGAAGGGUAUAUUCCACUGACCUUCAGUUUUAGCAGAACACUCCAAAUUUACCGAAUGAAGAAAUGAAUGAAUGAAGUACGCUUUAUUGAUCCUCUUUGCCCACAGAUCCUGAGUACUGAGCUAUGGUAUUUGUCUCUGCAUAACCGGCAAGGACACGGACUCUCCAGGGCUGAGACUAAAAGGGGAAGGCUUACCUCAGCUGCCCUCGAUUUCCCCUUCAGUGAAGACAUCCUCAUCCUCAAAGCAUCUCUUAUCUAAAGAAGCAAUGACAAUGAGAAGUACCUCACAGAUGUUGGAAGAAACAACAGAAUUGCCUGUCCUGAAACUUUAAGACCAGUAACCCUGGCAGAAGCAAUAUCAGAGGACUUAGCAUAGUGACUGGCAAGUAACAAGAUUUGGAUAAAAGCUAGGGUGUAAUUAUAAUUAGAUUUGGGAUUUGGUAUUAGGACUAAAAUUGUGAUUAUGAUUUCCAUUCUUUUCACCAGCAAUACUUGCACACAGCCUCCUGUUGACUUGAUAAAGAGCAAGAAAUGACAGAAUAUUGGUGUGUUUUUUUUUUCUUUUCACAGCUGAUUCCUUGAACCAUCCUCACAAACUCAACUCCCCUGGAGUAUGCUCUCCAAUCAAAACUGCUUCAUCCUCCUGCUUCCCCCAGCCACAUGAAAACC
rnacentral:lncRNA from 10 species